CAUGUCUAAGUAUAAGCAAUUAUACAGCGAAACUGCGAAUGGCUCAUUAUAUAAGUUAUCGUUUAUUUGAUAGUACCUUACUACUUGGAUAACCGUGGUAAUUCUAGAGCUAAUACAUGCUGAAAAUCCCGACUUCGGAAGGGAUGUAUUUAUUAGAUUCAAAGCCAAUGCCCUCUGGGCUCACUGGUGAUUCAUGAUAACUCUUCGAAUCGCACGGCCUUGCGCCGGCGAUGGUUCAUUCAAAUUUCUUCCCUAUCAACUUUCGAUGUUUGGGUAGUGGCCAAACAUGGUUGCAACGGGUAACGGAGGGUUAGGGCUCGACCCCGGAGAAGGAGCCUGAGAAACGGCUACUACAUCCAAGGAAGGCAGCAGGCGCGCAAAUUACCCAAUCCCGACACGGGGAGGUAGUGACAAUAAAUACUGAUACAGGGCUCUUUUGGGUCUUGUAAUUGGAAUGAGUACAAUUUAAAUCCCUUAACGAGGAACAAUUGGAGGGCAAGUCUGGUGCCAGCAGCCGCGGUAAUUCCAGCUCCAAUAGCGUAUAUUAAAGUUGUUGUGGUUAAAAAGCUCGUAGUUGAACCUUGGGCCUGGCUGGCCGGUCCGCCUCACCGCGUGUACUGGUCCGGCCGGGUCUUUCCCUCUGUGGAACCCCAUGCCCUUCACUGGGUGUGGCGGGGAAACAGGACUUUUACUUUGAAAAAAUUAGAGUGCUCCAGGCAGGCCUAUGCUCGAAUACAUUAGCAUGGAAUAAUGAAAUAGGACGCGCGGUUCUAUUUUGUUGGUUUCUAGGACCGCCGUAAUGAUUAAUAGGGACAGUCGGGGGCAUCAGUAUUCAAUUGUCAGAGGUGAAAUUCUUGGAUUUAUUGAAGACUAACUACUGCGAAAGCAUUUGCCAAGGAUGUUUUCAUUAAUCAGGAACGAAAGUUAGGGGAUCGAAGACGAUCAGAUACCGUCGUAGUCUUAACCAUAAACUAUGCCGACUAGGGAUCGGACGAUGUUAUUUUUUGACUCGUUCGGCACCUUACGAGAAAUCAAAGUGCUUGGGCUCCAGGGGGAGUANNGNCGC
rnacentral:rRNA from 1 species